rnacentral:rRNA from 1 species
GUGCCCAGAUGGGAUUAGCUAGUAGGUGGGGUAACGGCUCACCUAGGCGCCGAUCCCUAGCUGGUCUGAGAGGAUGACCAGCCACACUGGAACUGAGACACGGUCCAGACUCCUACGGGAGGCAGCAGUGGGGAAUAUUGCACAAUGGGCGCAAGCCUGAUGCAGCCAUGCCGCGUGUAUGAAGAAGGCCUUCGGGUUGUAAAGUACUUUCAGCGGGGAGGAAGGGAGUAAAGUUAAUACCUUUGCUCAUUGACGUUACCCGCAGAAGAAGCACCGGCUAACUCCGUGCCAGCAGCCGCGGUAAUACGGAGGGUGCAAGCGUUAAUCGGAAUUACUGGGCGUAAAGCGCACGCAGGCGGUUUGUUAAGUCAGAUGUGAAAUCCCCGGGCUCAACCUGGGAACUGCAUCUGAUACUGGCAAGCUUGAGUCUCGUAGAGGGGGGUAGAAUUCCAGGUGUAGCGGUGAAAUGCGUAGAGAUCUGGAGGAAUACCGGUGGCGAAGGCGGCCCCCUGGACGAAGACUGACGCUCAGGUGCGAAAGCGUGGGGAGCAAACAGGAUUAGAUCCCCUGGUAGUCCACGCCGUAAACGAUGUCGACUUGGAGGUUGUGCCCUUGAGGCGUGGCUUCCGGAGCUAACGCGUUAAGUCGACCGCCUGGGGAGUACGGCCGCAAGGUUAAAACUCAAAUGAAUUGACGGGGGCCCGCACAAGCGGUGGAGCAUGUGGUUUAAUUCGAUGCAACGCGAAGAACCUUACCUGGUCUUGACAUCCACGGAAGUUUUCAGAGAUGAGAAUGUGCCUUCGGGAACCGUGAGACAGGUGCUGCAUGGCUGUCGUCAGCUCGUGUUGUGAAAUGUUGGGUUAAGUCCCGCAACGAGCGCAACCCUUAUCCUUUGUUGCCAGCGGUCCGGCCGGGAACUCAAAGGAGACUGCCAGUGAUAAACUGGAGGAAGGUGGGGAUGACGUCAAGUCAUCAUGGCCCUUACGACCAGGGCUACACACGUGCUACAAUGGCGCAUACAAAGAGAAGCGACCUCGCGAGAGCAAGCGGACCUCAUAAAGUGCGUCGUAGUCCGGAUUGGAGUCUGCAACUCGACUCCAUGAAGUCGGAAUCGCUAGUAAUCGUGGAUCAGAAUGCCACGGUGAAUACGUUCCCGGGCCUUGUACACACCGCCCGUCACACCAUGGGAGUGGGUUGCAAAAGAAGUAGGUAGCUUAACCUUCGGGAGGGCGCUUACCACUUUGUGAUUCAUGACUGGGGUGAAGUCGUAACAAGGUAACCGU